UCCGCCCGCUGGCGGCGUGCCUAAUACAUGCAAGUAGAACGCUGAAGAGAGGAGCUUGCUCUUCUUGGAUGAGUUGCGAACGGGUGAGUAACGCGUAGGUAACCUGCCUGGUAGCGGGGGAUAACUAUUGGAAACGAUAGCUAAUACCGCAUAAAAUUGAUUAUUGCAUGAUAAUUAAUUGAAAGAUGCAACUGCAUCACUACCAGAUGGACCUGCGUUGUAUUAGCUAGUUGGUGAGGUAACGGCUCACCAAGGCGACGAUACAUGGCCGACCUGAGAGGGUGAUCGGCCACACUGGGACUGAGACACGGCCCAGACUCCUACGGGAGGCAGCAGUAGGGAAUCUUCGGCAAUGGGGGGAACCCUGACCGAGCAACGCCGCGUGAGUGAAGAAGGGUUUCGGAUCGUAAAGCUCUGUUGUAAGAGAAGAACGGGAGUGAGAGUGGAAAGUUCACACUGUGACGGUAUCUUACCAGAAAGGGACGGCUAACUACGUG
rnacentral:rRNA from 1 species